rnacentral:rRNA from 1 species
GAUGAACGCUGGCGGCGUGCCUAAUACAUGCAAGUCGAGCGAAUGGAUUAAGAGCUUGCUCUUAUGAAGUUAGCGGCGGACGGGUGAGUAACACGUGGGUAACCUGCCCAUAAGACUGGGAUAACUCCGGGGAACCGAGGCUAAUACCGGAUAACAUUUUGAACCGCAUGGUUCUAAAUUGAAAGGCGGCUUCGGCUGUCACUUAUGGAUGGACCCGCGUCACAUUAGCUAGUUGGUGAGGUAACGGCUCACCAAGGCAACGAUGCGUAGCCGACCUGAGAGGGUGAUCGGCCACACUGGGACUGAGACACGGCCCAGACUCCUACGGGAGGCAGCAGUAGGGAAUCUUCCGCAAUGGACGAAAGUCUGACGGAGCAACGCCGCGUGAGUGAUGAAGGCUUUCGGGUCGUAAAACUCUGUUGUUAGGGAAGAACAAGUGCUAGUUGAAUAAGCUGACACCUUGACGGUACCUAACCAGAAAGCCACGGCUAAUUCCCUCCCAGCAGCCGCCGUAA